CACGGAAACACUCUGAGCUUGUUUUCUCCAAGGGAGGGAAAGAAGCUUGAGCGGGAUGAGGAAGGAAUGGAUGAAAAAUAAAUAAAUCAUGGGCUGUCAUCACCGGGGGCGGUCAGAGCGCAUGGGCCCCUCACCCUCAGCAGCCUUUCAGAUGGAAACGGAGUGACAUGAUUUGUCUGAGAACUGGCUUGUGGGUGGCGGAGCCCGGCAGGCACCCCAGCCCACCUCCCUCUUUCUCACCAGAACGUAUGACCCCGCGGAGGGCAGCCCUGAACUCCUCGCUUCUUUUUGCACUUGGAGUGGAUGGCUUGAUUCCCGCUGGACCUUAGAAGUUUUAUACAAACAUCAUCUUGUGUUUAAUUUCCUUUGUUUGGGGAGGUCAAUUAAAGGUCUCGACGUAAUUCUAUUAAAACACUUGUCUCCCAAGUGAAUUGUGGAGGCCAAGUCAUAAAACUUUGCAAGGGGAAAACAGACAAGGCUUUGAAAUCCCUUCCUUUGCCUCAAGGAAAAUCAGAAGGAAGAAAGCCUUCUGCAGAGAAAGAGCCCCAGGAUCCAGGGGGCUUGUUUGUUUCAUUUCCUUGUUCCUAUCCUUUUUGCCCAAAGACAGUCCACAUGAAAGUAGGGGGCUUGGGUCCCUGCCCAUCCCCCCAGGAAGUGAGCUCUUUCCCUUCUCCACCCCCGGCAUGGGGCAGCGGGUUAGCACGAGAUUACUCCAGAGCCCCUCUCCCUCUGCCAAGACCAGGUGUGGGGAGGGCUCUGGUGUCAUGGGGAGCAGGGUAAUAGCUUGGCCAUCCUUCCCGCAAGCUUGGGGAUCACAAAACUCAGAGGCAAUUUGUCCCUGGGCAUUUUUCUUUCUUGCUUUUGAAGCCAUUUCUGUUUCAAGGAAAUUGAGCCCAUGUGUGUUUGGAUUAAUUGCUUAACUCCUAAAAACAUUGUUUUGUAAGAGCAACUUGAGAUCCAGAAAGCUUUUAAUUUGCUCUCCACGUGGCCCCAAUCAUAGGCUCUGAGCAGCCCUCUUGGGUCAGCACUGUACUUACAGCUGGAUCGGGUGAACGAAGAAUUAGCAGCCCCAGAUGGUAUUCAGUUCACCCCUCAAUCAGGUCUGAUUUCCAGAACUUGGCUGCUUCUCUGACAGUUUACAUUGCCCUGGAGGAGCUUUCAAGGACCUUCUUAACCCUGGAGGUGCCGCUAAGGAGAGUCAUGCCCUCUGCUCUAGAAAUUGUUUUGAAGUUCAGGCCUCGAGACUGAUGGGAUGGCCCUCUGUCGUGGAUGGAGGAGGAAGAUGUCAUCUUACUGAGUUUCAAGUCCACCAGGAGCCUCGCGUGAACCCCGGUUGAGGAGACUUCCUCCAACGCCCCUGGGCCUCUGUUUUCCGGGAAUAAUGCUGGACCCCAGGGUUGCUCUGAGAGCCAGUGUAAGAAUCCAGAUUCCUGGUGCUCCAGCUCUCAGGCCAGCAGGUGUUUACCGCCUCCCAGGGGUGCCUAGAUCAAGCCGAUCCCUCCCUCCGGGGCUGUCCCCAGUCCCUCCUUCUGUCUGACGUCCUCUUCCAUCUGCGGCCUCACCUGGCCUCCAACACCUUUCCUGGUGACUUUACUGGGCAGCCUCUCUUCCAAGCUACCACUGCAAACUGCAAAGAUCGGCGCAGGAGUGUUUCCUAUUAGCUUUUGCACGCCCCGUCAUCUUUCCGGCACGCAUUCUCUCUCACACCAUCCCCCACACUCGCCCAAGAGAGGACCAGGACGUGAGCUCAUUAAAUUCCCCUCAUUAAUAAACUGCUUGGAGGGAGGUCAAUAGUGGGAUAGUGACACUGGGUCACCCGCCCUCGGGUUCUGCUUUCUGACCUAAGGAGGUGAAUGACCCAGCCCAACUUCAGAGGCUUCAGCGUCCACGUUUUUCUGGAUUUCCUCUUCAAUCCUAACCAGCAGUUUGCUUUUUAGCAAACGAGGAAGGAUUUCUCAAAGUGGCCAAUAGGCAAAAAACACGAGUGUCUUCCCCCACGUCCCCCUGUUCUCCACCCCCACCCCGUCCAUUCUGUGCAGCUUUAUGUUAACAGCCUCAGGGAGGUGGACCUGGGGGUGAUACCCAGAGUGCGAUGGUCACCCUGACUACCCA